rnacentral:lncRNA from 1 species
CUUUGAUAUUUCAUGUACAGUAUAUAAUAUGUAUUUGGUGUACUUUGAUAUUUUAUGUACAGUAUAUAAUAUAUAAUAUGUGUGAUUUGAUAUUUUAUGUUCAGUAUAUAAUAUAUAUUCGGUGUACUUUGAUAUUUUAUGUACAGUAUAUAAUAUAUACUUCGUGUAAGUUGAUAUUUUAUGUGCAGUAUAUAUGUUUUGCAUACUUUGAUAUUUUAUGUACAGUGUAUAAUAUGUAUUUUGUGUACUUUGAUAUUUUAUGUACAGUAUAUAAUAUGUAUUUGGUGCACAUUGAUAUUUUAUGUACAGUAUAUAACAUGUAAUUUGUGUACUUUGAUAUUUUAUGAACAGUAUAUAAUAUGUAUUUGGUGUACUUUGAUAUUUUAUGUACAGUAUAUAAUAUGUAUUUGGUGUACUUUGAUAUUUUAUGUACAGUAUAUAAUAUAUAUUUUGUGUACUUUGGUAUUUUAAGUACAGUGUAUAAUAUAUAUUAUGUAUACUUUGAUAUUAUAUGUACAGCAUAUAAUAUAUAUUUUGUGUACUUUGAUAUAUUAUGUAUAGUAUAUAAUAUGUAUUAAGUGUACUUUGAUAUCUUAUGUACAGUAUAUAAUACGUAUUUGGUGUACUUUGAUAAUUGAUGUACAGUAUAUAGUAUGUAUUUGGUGUACUAUUUGAUAUUUUAUGUACAGUAUAUAAUAUGUAUUUGCUGUAGUUUGAUGUUUUAUGUACAUUAUAUAAUAUGUAUUUGGUGAACUUUGAUAUUUUAUGUACUGUAUAUCAUAUGUAUUUUUUGUACUUUGAUUUUUUAUGUACAGUAUAUCAUAUGUAUUUUGGGUACUUUGAUAUUUUGUGUACAGCAUAUAAUAUGUAUUUGGUGUAAUUUUUGAUAUUUUAUUUACAGUAUAUAAUAUGUAUUUGCUGUAGUUUUUGAUAUUUUAUGUACAGUAUAUAAUAUGUAUUUGGUGU